GACGAACGCUGGCGGCGUGCUUAACACAUGCAAGUCGAACGGAAAGGCCCUGCUUUUGUGGGGUGCUCGAGUGGCGAACGGGUGAGUAACACGUGAGUAACCUGCCCUUGACUUUGGGGUAACUUCAGGAAACUGGGGCUAAUACCGGAUAGGAGCUCCUGCUGCAUGGUGGGGGUUGGAAAGUUUCGGCGGGUGGGGAUGGACUCGCGGCUUAUGAGCUUGUUGGUGGGGUAGUGGCUUACCAAGGAUUUGACGGGUAGCCGGCCUGAGAGGGUGACCGGCCACAUUGGGACUGAGAUACGGCCCAGACUGCUACGGGAGGCAACAGUGGGGAAUAUUGCACAAUGGGCGGAAGCCUGAUGCAGCAACGCCGCGUGCGGGAUGACGGCCUGCGGGUUGUAAACCGCUUUCGCCUGUGACGAAGCGUGAGUGACGGUAAUGGGUAAAGAAGCACCGGCUAACUACGUG
rnacentral:rRNA from 1 species